CCUGCUCUAGAAUGGUGACAAGGUUCCCAUCUUAUCAGUGCCAUUCUCGGGGAGGAUCCCUCAUACACUAAAUGCCGAGGACUUAGAGAGUAAGGUAAGAGUGAGUGGUCAAGUCAGAAGUCUCCACCACAUCGUUGACAUCCACACAGGCCGCAGGUGGCCUCUCUGCCCAGGAUCACAGUCUGUGGACCCCAGCUCUACAGAAGGAUAAGGCCAGCCCUUGCAAUGUGGUCUGUCAAACAGCUUCAGUUCUAUCCAAAGGGCAAACAGUUUACAAUCAGAAGAGCACAGACAGGUGCAGGAAAUGCUUAAGUACGAAAAUUCUGUAAGAAAAAGAAAAAAAAAUGCAAAAGCACAGGAAUAAAAUAA